rnacentral:rRNA from 1 species
AGAGCGAACGCUGGCGGCAGGCCUAAUACAUGCAAGUCGAACGAACCCUUCGGGGUUAGUGGCGGACGGGUGAGUAACACGUGGGAACGUGCCUUUUGGUUCGGAACAACUCAGGGAAACUUGAGCUAAUACCGAAUGUGCCCUUCGGGGGAAAGAUUUAUCGCCAUUAGAGCGGCCCGCGUCUGAUUAGCUAGUUGGUGGGGUAAAGGCCCACCAAGGCUACGAUCAGUAGCUGGUCUGAGAGGAUGAUCAGCCACACUGGGACUGAGACACGGCCCAGACUCCUACGGGAGGCAGCAGUAGGGAAUCUUGCGCAAUGGGCGAAAGCCUGACGCAGCCAUGCCGCGUGAAUGAUGAACGGUCUUAGGAUUGUAAAAUUCUUUCAGCGGGGACGAUAAUGACGGUACCCGCAGAAGAAGCCCCGGCUAACUUCGUGCCAGCAGCCGC